rnacentral:rRNA from 1 species
UACGUAGGGGGCAAGCGUUGUCCGGAGUUACUGGGCGUAAAGCGCGCGCAGGCGGUCCGUGAGGUGUCACGUGAAAGCCCCGAGCUUAACUCGGGAGGGUCGUGGCAAACCGGCGGACUUGAGGCCGGUAGAGGUGGGUGGAACUCCUGGUGGAGUGGUGAAAUGCGUAGAGAUCAGGAAGAACACCCGUGGCGAAGGCGGCCCACUGGGCCGGAACUGACGCUGAGGCGCGAAGGCGUGGGGAGCGAACGGG